CCUUCUCCCUCGCCCCGUGCCCGAGGAAAUGGCCCAAAGUGCCACUUCCGGCACGCGUGGCAUAGGUUCGCCAUCAAUGCCUUACAGCCACCCCUAAAACCCAUUAUUCCAGGGGAGAAUGACAGCUUUCAACCUUGGGUGAAUCCGAACACAAAAGUCAGAGACUGGCAGUGAGGUGGAAUAUACUGGCUGAAUAUAAUGAGAGAAUGAUGCCUCAUAACCCACUGUUAGUUACUGUAAUACAGAUCCAUGCACAUCUGGUACAGAACCUGCUAUCAUCCUGUGUGUUUUGUGUCUUCCAUCACAGCAACCCCCACGGCCCCAGCUGUAUUUCCGUUGUCCCCCUGUUGCCAAGAUCUCUACACUGCCUCCAAAGUCACGCUUGGGUGUUUGAUCACGGGCUACUUUCCUGAGCCAGCCACAGUGCAAUGGAACUCAGGAGCCAUCUCCACAGGCAUCCGGACCUUCCCAGCAAUAGCUCACUCCAGCGGCCAUUACACCCUCAGCAGCCAGCUCACUGUCCCAGUCUCCAGCUGGGAGUCUGGGAAUUUCCGAUGCAACGUUGUCCAUACAGCUACCAACUCCUCGCUCAACCAAGAGAUUGAACGCUGCAGUUUGCCAGUUCGACCAGCGGUCACCCUGCUCCACUCCUCCUGCAACGAUGAAUCUGCUGAUGUUACCAUUCAGCUACUAUGCCGUGUAGUGGGCUUCUACCCCAAAGAGGUGACGGUCGAUUGGCUAGUGGGUGAGCAAACUGGGUUGUUGCCCUCAGUCACAGAGAGCCCUAGACAAGAUGAGAACAGCUACACCUUCAGUACCACCAGCACAGCCAAUGUCAGCCAAGCAGAUUGGCUGGAUGGGAAUGCUUACUCCUGCCAGGUGACUCAUGACGCUACCCAGACCAAGGUGAAAAGCAAGGCCAAGAUCUGUGGAGGCAGCACCACAGAGAUUCGAACCUUCAUCCUGCGCCCAAGCCCCAAUGACAUCUAUGUGGACAAGGUUCCCAAGCUCACCUGUGUGGUCGUCAACAUGGAGAGUGAAAUUGGAUUGGAAGUGGCUUGGUCACGGGAAAAAAGAGGGGGCCUGAACCCUGUACCCAUAGACGUGAAAAAAGAGCUGAAUGGCACCCUGACAGGGUCCAGUUCUCUGAUCCUCUCUGACGGAGAAUGGCUGUCAGGAGAGACUUUUACCUGCACAGUGAAACACCCAGGCUUGCCUUUACCGAAGAGUACCAGGAUUAGCAAGAAGAUAGUGGCCAGCACCGCCCCCAGUGUGUAUCUCUUCUGUCCUAACGAUGAGGAGCUCGCCUCUAAUGGCAGAUAUGUCUCCAUCACUGCCCUGGUCAAAGGGUUCAAGCCCAGUGAAAUCUCCCUGAAAUGGCUACGGGGUGGACAGCCCUUGGAUGAAGCUGACUACAUCACCACCCCAGUCUUCAGCGAUGGCGACGACACUUAUUUCUUGUUCAGCAAACUGAAGGUCCUCAAGACUGACUGGAACCGAGGUGAUUCCUACACAUGCAUGGUUGUCCAUGAGGGCCUGAGCGACAAGUUCAUCCAGAAGAACAUCGAGAAAUCCCAGGGAAUGACAAUAUUACAAAUGGAUUAUAGAGAUGAGACAGAAGAAGAUCUAGAAAGUCUAUGGGCCACCAUCUUCGUUUUCUUUGUUCUCUUCCUCCUCAGUGUGUGCUAUAGUGCUACAGUGACACUGUUCAAGGUCAAAUUGCUUUUUUCUGCAGUGAUGCACCUGAAAGAACAACCUGCAAGACCAGAAUAUAGGAAUGUAAUCCCUCUUACAGCGUAGCAGACUUUUUCCUAAGAACCUCAUUCUUUAUUUUCAGAGGAAGUCACUACUCAGAGCUACAUGGUCUGCUCUGGUAUGGAUAUCCCAGGCCUUUCCCUCAGUAAGGGGUCAUCUGUUCCUUAUGCCUCCCUCUUCCAGUGCACUCUGGUCUAUUUUAUGAUAAGUGAUGAGGUGCUCACAGCCCCAGAAUCCAUCAGCCCAAACAUGCCACAGCCUGACUAGGGCUCAUCAGUUGUUGACAUCAGCUGAAAAACUGCCUUCAAGAAAAACAGUUCCUUCAAAAAGGUUCUUAACUGAACUAGUUUCCACCAAGUUUCAGAAGCACCCACUUUUCUCAUUGAACCUGUGGUUCUAUUAGGAAUGGAUGGUGCACACACACAUACCAGUAGAUCUGGAGAAAUCAACCAAGUGUACUACCUCUGACCUUAUUUCCAGCACACUUUCCCUCUUCUCUGAGCUUCUGGCCUCCCGUGCAUCUCCUUUUCCAAUUCACCAUGCAUUUGCUAUGCAAGCUCCUACCCAAACCCGACCCCUUAUUCUCCAAGAUCUGUACCAGAAGCCUUGUUCUAAUAACUCAGAGAAAAAUCCUGUGGCAGAUACAAAAGGGGCCUUUCCAGUGCUGCCACCCUAGUUGUACAAUUCCCUUGGACUCCUGUUUCACUGGCUUGGGGCACAAAGUGAAGAAGACAAUAUUAUCCUCCUGAACCUGCAAAGAUGAAUUAUUUUAAUGCUGUUGUUGUUGUUGUUGUUGUUGUUGUUGUCGUUGUUGUUGUUGUUGUCAUUCUGCUUUUACUUCUGUUCUUACCUCCCUUGGUUUGUGUUUUUUAAUAUUUUAUCCUUUAAACUUAAUGCUCAUGUUGCAGAUUUAAAUAUUUGUUAUGGUUAAUCACUUUAGAAACAUGUGAUGCAGGGCAAGGUGCAAAUAUUUUUUUAAAAACAGAUAAAUGAAUUGAUUGUACCUACCGAUCUGACUUCUCUCCACUCCACCAUUCCUGCCACUAUCAAGUUUCCAUUGUAUGCAGCAUUGGGAAACUACCCUAGAGUCAUAGAGUUGGAAGGGGCACUGAUGGCCAUGCAGUCCAACCCAAUGCCAGUGCAAGAAUCCACCACUAAAGCAACCCAAGAGGCCAUCUUCCAGCAUCUGCUUGAAAACAUCUAGUCCCCCUGUCUAUAUUGGAACAUAAUGACCAACAUCUGACUCAAGUCUUCCCCCAACUACUUCCUUCUCCUUCUCCUUCUGCUUCUCUUCUUCUUCAUUCUCCUCCUCCUCCUCCUCCUCCUCACGACUGCCUUAUUAAUAGUUCCAUAUUUUGUGCUCAUUACUG